GACGAACGCUGGCGGCGUGCUUAACACAUGCAAGUCGAACGGAAAGGCCCUGCUUGCAGGGUACUCGAGUGGCGAACGGGUGAGUAACACGUGGGUGAUCUGCCCUGCACUUCGGGAUAAGCUUGGGAAACUGGGUCUAAUACCGGAUAGGAGCCAUCUUUAGUGUGGUGGUUGGAAAGUUUUUUCGGUGUAGGAUGAGCUCGCGGCCUAUCAGCUUGUUGGUGGGGUAAUGGCCUACCAAGGCGGCGACGGGUAGCCGGCCUGAGAGGGUGUACGGCCACAUUGGGACUGAGAUACGGCCCAGACUCCUACGGGAGGCAGCAGUGGGGAAUAUUGCACAAUGGGCGCAAGCCUGAUGCAGCGACGCCGCGUGGGGGAUGAAGGCCUUCGGGCUGUAAACUCCUUUCGCUAGGGACGAAGCUUUGUUGUGACGGUACCUAGAUAAGAAGCACCGGCUAACUACGUG
rnacentral:rRNA from 1 species